rnacentral:rRNA from 1 species
GAUGAACGCUAGCGACAGGCCUAACACAUGCAAGUCGAGGGGCAGCACAUGAGUAGCAAUACGAUGGUGGCGACCGGCGCACGGGUGAGUAACACGUAUGCAACCUGCCUUCUACUAUGGGAUAACCCGUUGAAAGACGGACUAAUACCGUAUAAUACAGGGGCUCAGCAUGGAGAUAUUUGUUAAAGAUUUAUUUGUAGAAGAUGGGCAUGCGUAUGAUUAGAUAGGUGGUGAGGUAACGGCUCACCAAGUCAACGAUCAUUAGGGGUUCUUAGAGGGAGGUACCCCCCACUGGUACUGAGACACGGACCAGACUCCUACGGGAGGCAGCAGUGAGGAAUAUUGGUCAAUGGACGAGAGUCCGAACCAGCCAAGUCGCGUGAAGGAAGACGGUUCUAUGAAUUGUAAACUUCUUUUGUGCAGGAAUAAAGUGGGUCACGUGUAACCUUUUGUAUGUACUGUACGAAUAAGGAUCGGCUAACUCCGUGCCAGCAGCCGCAGUAAGAC